UUUAUGGCUUGAUGUACUCUUAUUGCUUGGCACUUAACCUCAGUAUUGUGGAGCUCAUGCUGCUCCAUUGCAAGCUCACCUCUGGGGCAGCCAGAUCAGGCUGAGGCCCAGGCCAUCCAUCCAUCCACUCUGACUGGAGGAUGUGGGCCUGGUGAAGAGACAGAGACUGUUGACUUCUCUGCUGCCCAGCCUCCCCUCACCCUCAGAGGGAUCCAUAGCCUGCACUUCUGUGGACAACACAGUUUCAUUUAAGUCAAAUUGAAAUGUUAAAUAUGUAACGUUAUGUAUAAAUCUGCUAUAUGCCCAUAUUGCGCUUUUUUUCUUUCUAUUCUGCAGCUGCUGCAUAACUAUGCAUCUAGUGUUUUCUUUCUCCAAAGAUUGUCCAUAGAGGGGUUUCGUUGUUAUUAUAAAGGGGUGGUUAAACCCUGUCCUGUAGGACAGCAGACUGCUUUGGAUUUCAAUCAACUUUAUCAGAUAUCCAGGAGCGAGUUUGGCAGUCCACAUUAUGAUAGCAGACUAGGGAGAGCCACAGAGAAAUUCAAUAGAACAUUUGCUUUGCGAUGGAUAGAGGGUUUGACCAGCGAGAAUAGAGAAUUUGGUGACUUUGGGAGAGCUGUGACUUCCCCCUAGUGGAAGAGAUGCAGCACUGCAACAUUACUUGAAUUUUGUACAAGUAUUUAACCAGAAAUGGCACUUUUUCAUGACAUUAUCAAUGUUCAUUUUUGUCUUUGGUCAGUCAAAACCUCAAUGUGUUUUCUCGCAGAAAGAUUGAAUGAGUAACAAUAACCUCAGCAGGAUUGAUUGACACGUCCUUAGUUCAAAUCUAGCUCGUGUAUAUUAGUGAGGUGAUUGCAUUUUCAUUAGGUUAUAUUUGAAACUAUUUAGGAGAAGGAGAUGAUUUGUGUUUAGGCCAAUUCUGUCUAAACAGUAUUUUUAUCGAGACUAAUUGUAAUUGUCAAAAAAAACAAAUGAAUUGGCUCAUUGUUCAAAUGAUACCAAUUUAAGCACUAGUAAAAGUAAUUAUCUGGAAAUUGCAUUCUCUGGAACAUGAGUAGGUCAAAUCAAACUGUUUGCACCUCAACAAACAUUUCAGAAAAAUAACCACAUGCAUUUUGCUAAUUCAUUUAUUUGCAAACAAGUUUGUCCAACUUUUUAGAUGUACACCUAAUAUACACCUGCUCACUUGUGUCUGAUGUCUCCUAUUCUCUGCUUGGUCAGGUUAAUGUGAUUCGAGACCCCAGGUGUAUACUGUACGUUAAAGCCAUACGCAGAUGUGCAAGCUCGCUCACUCCUGCAGGGAAUGGACAGAGAAGGGUCCUCUGGACUGAUACGGAAAUGAUUACUUAGAUAGAAUGAAUAGCUAUGGAAAAUGCUUUAUAUACCAUAAAGCUAUAUUUUGUCUAUAUGUGUAUAUAUUUAUAAAUAUCUAUAAAUCCGUUCCGUGUUUCCAGUUAAUUUAGAGUAACAGGGAGACAAGUACUUCAGUUCAAACUAUCUGAGCCAGUCCUGAUUCCAGUGUUAUACUCAAUAGUUUCUUGGUGUUUGUCAAAAAAUAUGUGCUUUUUACAUUGGCCUCGAUUCUCUAAAAGCAAAAGUCUUCAAUCAACCAGCAUAAUACAAGGAGCGCAAAGCCCUAACCCUCACCAGCUAACAGCUGUUCUAUAUGGGACCUGAAAACAGCAACAACAACAAAACGGGUUAUUACACACAAAAGACAUGAAGCCCUCCAAAAUCAAUUUAUUGCUUAGCUACUUGUAUGUUCAACGUUAUCAGGAAACGCUGGGCUCAUGACAGUCACAGAUUUCUUUGACGAAUUCAGCAAAAUGUCAAGAAAAAACCCCACUUCUUGACAUAUAUUUUUGUACAAAGGUAAUUUUAUCCCUUGCUUAUGUACUCUGUACCUGCCAUUUUCCUCCUGUGGGCUGUUGUAUACAUUGUUUGUGUAAAUGUUGAUUUAAAAUGGGGAAGAAAAAAAGUGAGAAGAGUGGUUGCAGUGACACCCUGGUAACUGUCGCCUAUACUUUGCCUUUUCUGGCCUAUCGAUACAAGAUGAGAUUGUCCUCUCAUUACAUUUUGUCUAUUUUUAACGAGUUGGAAAACGUCAUCUGUUCUUUGUGGGUUGUUCUCCGAUAUUCUAUCUUUCAUGGAAAGACAAAAAGAUUAUUAAAAAAAAUCUAAAAGUAAA
rnacentral:lncRNA from 1 species